GUGAAUCAUCAAAUUUUUGAACGCAAAUUGCACUCUCUUCGGAGAGUAUGCCUGUUUGAGGGUCAGCCUAAAAAAAAAUCGACAUAGUCUCUUUUUCGCGGCGACAUGCGUCGAAAAGUGGGUCAUCUUAAACCUUUGGGUUUUAAGCGUCUUAAAUUUUUCUUUACGAUUCUACGAACGUUUCUAAGAUUUACUUCUUAUGCUUUUAAUGUAGCGAUCUUUAUUAUGCGAG
rnacentral:misc_RNA from 1 species